rnacentral:rRNA from 1 species
GUCGAACGGUAACAGGGAUUAGCUUGCUAAUCCGCUGACGAGUGGCGCACGGGUGCGUAACGCGUAUACAAUCUGCCUUUAAGCGGGGAAUAGCCCAUGGAAACGUGGAUUAAUACCCCAUAGUAUGUAGACUUCACCUGGAGACUACAUUAAACAUUUAUGGCUUAAAGAUGAGUAUGCGUCCUAUUAGUUAGUUGGUAAGGUAACGGCUUACCAAGACGGCGAUAGGUAGGGGUCCUGAGAGGGAGAUCCCCCACACUGGUACUGAGACACGGACCAGACUCCUACGGGAGGCAGCAGUGAGGAAUAUUGGACAAUGGAGGCAACUCUGAUCCAGCCAUGCCGCGUGCAGGAAGACGGCCCUAUGGGUUGUAAACUGCUUUUAUACGGGAAGAACCACAUCUACGUGUAGAUGCUUGACGGUACCGUAUGAAUAAGGACCGGCUAACUCCGUGCCAGCAGCCGCGGUAAUACGGAGGGUCCAAGCGUUAUCCGGAAUCAUUGGGUUUAAAGGGUCCGUAGGCGGGAUAAUAAGUCAGUGGUGAAAGUCUGCAGCUCAACUGUAGAAUUGCCAUUGAUACUGUUGUUCUUGAAUUAUUAUGAAGUGGUUGGAAUGAGUAGUGUAGCGGUGAAAUGCAUAGAUAUUACUCAGAACACCUAUUGCGAAGGCAGAUCACUAAUAAUAUAUUGACGCUGAGGGACGAAAGCGUAGGUAGCGAACAGGAUUAGAUACCCUGGUAGUCUACGCCGUAAACGAUGGUUACUAGCUGUUCGGCUCGAUUGAGAGCUGAGUGGUUAAGCGAAAGUGAUAAGUAACCCACCUGGGGAGUACGUUCGCAAGAAUGAAACUCAAA